rnacentral:rRNA from 1 species
GCAUAUCAAUAAGCGGAGGAAAAGAAACUAACAAGGAUUCCCCUAGUAACUGCGAGUGAAGAGGGACAAGCUCAAAUUUUAAAUCUAUCGGGUUUUACCUGAUCGAGUUGUAAUUUGAAGAAGCGUUUUCUGCGUUUUUGGUCAGCUCAAGUCCUAUUGAAUGAGGCAUCAUGGAGGGUGAUAAUCCCGUCCGGUUGAUCAUUUGCGUUUUACGAUACGCUCUCUAAGAGUCAAGUUGUUUGGGAUUGCAGCUUAAAAUGGGAGGUAAAUUUCUCCUAAGGCUAAAUAACGGCGAGAGACCGAUAGCGAACAAGUACCGUGAGGGAAAGAUGAAAAGAACUUUGAAAAGAGAGUUAAACAGUACGUGAAAUUGUUGAAAGGGAAACGAUUGAAGCCAGUCGUACCUUCGGGUAAUCAGCCUUUCGGGUGCGAUUCUGUGGAGUGUGAGGAGCUUAACACCUUCAUGCCUUUGCAUAUUUGUGCUCUUGGGUGUACUUGCCCGUGUGGUUGGUUAACAUCAAUUUUGAUUAUCAUAAAAUGACUGGAGGAAUGUAGCUUCGAUCUCGUAUUGAAGUGUUAUAGCCUUUGGUAGAUGUGAUGAUCGAGAUUGAGGAUUGCAACGGAUACCCUUCGGGGCUACCUGCCUGGUCUCUGAUCGUUGCUCUGGUGCCGAAAGCGUGCUUACGGUUAUCAAAGUCGAUGGUCAAUANGUUAGAACGGGUUAAAUUCGUUAAGGAUGUUGACGUA